AUGAACGCUGGCGGCGUGCCUAAUACAUGCAAGUCGAGCGAACAGACGAGGAGCUUGCUCCUCUGACGUUAGCGGCGGACGAGUGAGUAACACGUGGAUAACCUACCUAUAAGACUGGGAUAACUUCGGGAAACCGGAGCUAAUACCGGAUAACAUGUUGAACCGCAUGGUUCAACAGUGAAAGACGGUCUUGCUGUCACUUAUAGAUGGAUCCGCGCCGCAUUAGCUAGUUGGUAAGGUAACGGCUUACCAAGGCAACGAUGCGUAGCCGACCUGAGAGGGUGAUCGGCCACACUGGAACUGAGACACGGUCCAGACUCCUACGGGAGGCAGCAGUAGGGAAUCUUCCGCAAUGGGCGAAAGCCUGACGGAGCAACGCCGCGUGAGUGAAGAAGGUCUUCGGAUCGUAAAACUCUGUUAUUAGGGAAGAACAAAUGUGUAAGUAACUAUGCACGUCUUGACGGUACCUAAUCAGAAAGCCACGGCUAACUACGUG
rnacentral:rRNA from 1 species